UUCAGGUGUACAUUACAAGGCAGAGGCAUGGAUUGUCUCAGCCAGGUGAGCACAAAGAAACCUGAGUUCAUGCCUAAACCUUAGGAAUGUUGGGAUCAAAGGUGUGGACUGUUACAACCUUCCCAGGAUUAUCUUCCAUUUACUCUACUGUAUCUUGUUAAGUGGAAUGCUGCACCUUACACCCUACACACAGAAUCUUGUCCUACUCCUUUUGCUCCUUCAUACUCUGGCACAGCACCAAUAGUAGUUCAGAGCUUUGCAGCACUGGUGCUAUGGGGUUGCAGAUGUUAGAUGUCUGUCAGGCUAAGAAGAAAAAAGAAUUGGAAUGUGACAAGUUUUGCUGAAAAUCUGGAAGAGGAAAUUGAGAAACAAGUGACUUGUCCCAGGUCAAAUGGCCAGUAACUAUCUAAGGAAUGAUUUUAUCCAACUUCUCCUGACUCCAGGUUUGGUAUCCUAUCAACUAUGAUUUGCUGCCUCUUAUAAUGUUCCUGAUGCUUUGUAAUCUCUGGACUUUCAAUAAAGAUUCAAAUCUAAA